UGGCUCAGUGAGGCGUCCGGACUGGCCCAGAGAGGUGGGCAACUACCACUCAGGGCCGGAAAGCUCUCCAAACUCGGUCAUUUAGAGGAAGUAAAAGUCGUAACAAGGUCUCCGUUGGUGAACCAGCGGAGGGAUCAUUACCGAGUUUACAACUCCCAAACCCCUGUGAACAUACCACUUGUUGCCUCGGCGGAUCAGCCCGCUCCCGGUAAAACGGGACGGCCCGCCAGAGGACCCCUAAACUCUGUUUCUAUAUGUAACUUCUGAGUAAAACCAUAAAUAAAUCAAAACUUUCAACAACGGAUCUCUUGGUUCUGGCAUCGAUGAAGAACGCAGCAAAAUGCGAUAAGUAAUGUGAAUUGCAGAAUUCAGUGAAUCAUCGAAUCUUUGAACGCACAUUGCGCCCGCCAGUAUUCUGGCGGGCAUGCCUGUUCGAGCGUCAUUUCAACCCUCAAGCACAGCUUGGUGUUGGGACUCGCGUUAAUUCGCGUUCCUCAAAUUGAUUGGCGGUCACGUCGAGCUUCCAUAGCGUAGUAGUAAAACCCUCGUUACUGGUAAUCGUCGCGGCCACGCCGUUAAACCCCAACUUCUGAAUGUUGACCUCGGAUCAGGUAGGAAUACCCGCUGAACUUAAGCAUAUCAAUAAGCGGAGGAAAAGAAACCAACAGGGAUUGCCCUAGUAACGGCGAGUGAAGCGGCAACAGCUCAAAUUUGAAAUC
rnacentral:rRNA from 1 species